AGAACUACGGUAGCAUUCAGGUAACGUAAAAACGUGAAAGAUUCUCGCUAUAGCCAUUGUUUGGUUUGGCUGUUCAGGGCUACUGUAGAAACAUGGCAGAGCAACAUGGCGAACUCCGUGAAGACAGACGGUUAGACUGUUGUCAGGCUAUUAAAUAGGCGUUAUCAGUCGCUAUAAGCCCCAUAGAUGUGGGUCAGUAGGGAACUACUACACCCACUAGUAGGCUCUAUCAUCUAUUCACAUGGUAGAUCACCAAAAGAAGGUAUAAAAGAACACGACAGCGACCUCUAGUGACCGUAGUAAUUAUGACAGGAGCACCAGCGGAAGUCAGGCACUGUAGUAUGGACAGUUUUCUCCCAG